rnacentral:rRNA from 1 species
UACGUAGGGUGCAAGCGUUGUCCGGAAUUAUUGGGCGUAAAGAGCUCGUAGGCGGUCUGUCGCGUCGGAUGUGAAAACCCAGGGCUCAACCCUGGGCCUGCAUUCGAUACGGGCAGACUAGAGUUCGGUAGGGGAGACUGGAAUUCCUGGUGUAGCGGUGAAAUGCGCAGAUAUCAGGAGGAACCCCAGAGGCGAAGGCGGCGUCCUGGCUCGCAUCUGACGCUCAGACACGACAGCAUGGGGAGCGAACGGG